AUGCAGUCGAACGCGAAAGGGGCUUCGUGCCCUGAGUAGAGUGGCGAACGGGGACACGUGGGUGACCUACCCUCGAGUGGGGGAUAACAUCCCGAAAGGGGUGCUAAUACCGCAUGACAUCCUGCCUUUGAACAGGUGGAUAUUAAAGCCGGGGAUCGCAAGACCUGGCGCUCGAGGAGGGGCUCGCGUCCGAUUAGCUAGUUGGUGGGGUAAUGGCCUACCAAGGCGACGAUCGGUAGCCGGCCUGAGAGGGCGGACGGCCACACUGGGACUGAGACACGGCCCAGACUCCUACGGGAGGCAGCAGUGGGGAAUUGUUCGCAAUGGGCGCAAGCCUGACGACGCAACGCCGCGUGGAGGAUGAAGAUCUUCGGGUCGUAAACUCCUUUCGAUCGGGACGAAUGGCCGGUGACCUAACACGUCAUCGGAGUGACGGUACCGAGAGAAGAAGACCCGGGUAACUCCGUGCCAGCAGCCGCGGUAAUACAGGGGGGGCAAGGA
rnacentral:rRNA from 1 species